AGUGAACGCUGGCGGUAGGCCUAACACAUGCAAGUCGAACGGCAGCACAGUAAGAGCUUGCUCUUACGGGUGGCGAGUGGCGGACGGGUGAGGAAUACAUCGGAAUCUACUUUUUCGGGGGGGAUAACGUAGGGAAACUUACGCUAAUACCGCAUACGACCUACGGGUGAAAGCAGGGGAUCUUCGGACCUUGCGCGAAUGAAUGAGCCGAUGUCGGAUUAGUUAGUUGGCGGGGUAAAGGCCCACCAAGGCGACGAACCGUAGCUGGUCUGAGAGGAUGGUCAGCCACACUGGAACUGAGACACGGUCCAGACUCCUACGGGAGGCAGCAGUGGGGAAUAUUGGACAAUGGGCGCAAGCCUGAUCCAGCCAUACCGCGUGGGUGAAGAAGGCCUUCGGGUUGUAAAGCCCUUUUGUUGGGAAAGAAAAGCAGCAGGUUAAUACCCCGCUGUUCUGACGGUACCCAAAGAAUAAGCACCGGCUAACUUCGUG
rnacentral:rRNA from 1 species